UUGUCGGCAUCACCUAUGCCCUGACCGUUGUGUGGCUCCUGGUGUUUGCCUGCUCUGCUGUGCCUGUGUACAUUUACUUCAACACCUGGACCACCUGCCAGUCUAUUGCCUUCCCCAGCAAGACCUCUGCCAGUAUAGGCAGUCUCUGUGCUGAUGCCAGAAUGUAUGGUGUUCUCCCAUGGAAUGCUUUCCCUGGCAAGGUUUGUGGCUCCAAUCUUCUGUCCAUCUGCAAAACAGCUGAGGUGAGUGGGUUAUUUGGGUUAUUUUACAAGGGAGUAGCUAAUACCAUACAAAUUACACCCAUGGCCUUCAAUUUUAAGGACUGAAAGUUUCCCUUUGCUGGAUUUUGAAUUAGCCGAUUGCCUUCUACAACAUGUUGGCUAAGUGUGCCUGAGCCAAUGAGCAUAGAAGGUAAAACACCUGUUUUCUCUAGAGUUGCAUAGAAAGACUUCCUUUCCAACCCUUCCCCUCUUAAAAGAGAAGUUUGUAGCUUUAGGUAAAGAUAGAGCCUAAUGGCAAAAUCCCCCACAUGAAAAUUUUCAUUCCUUUAGUUAAAAACCAUAUCA
rnacentral:sRNA from 1 species